rnacentral:misc_RNA from 1 species
CACCUUCACAUGGUUUUGGAGAUUGCCCUGGCACCUCUUAAAGAUAAUGGUGAGACCUAUUCUACACGCAAAGUACUCUCUGCGAAGUUGUUUAGCACACACCUUAAAACCUC